rnacentral:ribozyme from 1 species
GCAUGGUGAGGAGGGCCAGUGCGGACAGUGCUGG